AUACUACCGUUUGAUGAAGAAGAGUAAUUAAACCCCACAUGAAAAGAGAAGAAAUGUCAUGGGCUGAAAGCAUUUCUGCAUGAUGAUUUAAUGAAUGAACACUUCGUAGGUUUCUCUCUGAAAGAAGCAAUUGCUUUUAGUAGGAGUUGAACGUUAACAGGCGUUAACUGUAAAAGAGGAAGAUCGUCAAGUUUGGCGGCUUCAACUAGGGUGGCACCACGGGAAUCUCAGAAGCUCUCGUCCCUUGU
rnacentral:ncRNA from 1 species